rnacentral:lncRNA from 1 species
CAGUCGGAUCCGCUCCGGCUUCACGCCUCUCGCUGGCUCUCCGGCUUUCUCCCUGGACACGCCGAGGCCAGGAAAUUGAGCUCUCAGGAAGGAGAGAUCCUGCUGCCUCCCAUCUUGGCUUUCCUCAUUCUGUGUUCUACUCAUGAGCCCUCACAGGCUGCAAAUGAGCAGUCUGUGAAGGUGUGGACAUGUGUGUGGAUCCUCAUCCGGCCCCAAAUACACACCCUAAACUCCACAUCUCAGGAGCAGCAGCUGGUGACGCCCACAGUCCUAAUUGCUUUUCUGCACUCAAGAGACGAUGCCCUCACCAGCUCCAGUUUUGUUGCUCAUUCAGAUCUUUUCCUGGAGUUUCACGGCCCUCACCCUUGGCUGGGACCGUCUUUGUAACCGUCUGGUUCAAAACCAAGUUGGCGGCAGUCUUUUACCAGAAUGGUUAA